rnacentral:rRNA from 1 species
AGAGUUUGAUCCUGGCUCAGGAUGAACGCUGGCGGCGUGCUUAACACAUGCAAGUCGAACGGGAAUGCCACGCUGAUGCGAUUUCGGUCAAAUCAUGUGGCAUUCGAGUGGCGGACGGGUGAGUAACGCGUGGGUAACCUGCCUUACACAGGGGGAUAACACCUGGAAACAGGUGCUAAUACCGCAUAAGCGCACAGGGCCGCAUGGCCCGGUGUGAAAAACUCCGGUGGUGUAAGAUGGACCCGCGUCUGAUUAGCUUGUUGGCGGGGUAGGGGCCCACCAAGGCGACGAUCAGUAGCCGGCCUGAGAGGGUGGACGGCCACAUUGGGACUGAGACACGGCCCAAACUCCUACGGGAGGCAGCAGUGGGGGAUAUUGGACAAUGGGGGAAACCCUGAUCCAGCGACGCCGCGUGAGUGAAGAAGUAUUUCGGUACGUAAAGCUCUAUCAGCAGGGAAGAAUAAUGACGGUACCUGACUAAGAAGCCCCGGCUAACUACGUGCCAGCAGCCGCGGUAAUACGUAGGGGGCAAGCGUUAUCCGGAUUUACUGGUGUAAAGGGAGCGUAGACGGCUGUGCAAGUCUGAAGUGAAAUGCCGGGGCUCAACCCCGGAACUGCUUUGGAAACUGUACAGCUAGAGUGCAGGAGGGGUGAGCGGAAUUCCUAGUGUAGCGGUGAAAUGCGUAGAUAUUAGGAGGAACACCGGUGGCGAAGGCGGCUCACUGGACCGUAACUGACGUUGAGGCUCGAAAGCAUGGGUAGCGAACAGGAUUAGAUACCCUGGUAGUCCAUACCGUAAACGAUGAGUGCUAGGUGUUGGAGGGUUUCCGCCCUUCAGUGCCGGAGCUAACGCAUUAAGCACUCCGCCUGGGGAGUACGACCGCAAGGUUGAAACUCAAAGGAAUUGACGGGGGCCCGCACAAGCGGUGGAGCAUGUGGUUUAAUUCGAAGCUACGCGAAGAACCUUACCAGGUCUUGACAUCUUGCGCUAACCUUAGAGAUAAGGCGUUCCCUUCGGGGACGCAAUGACAGGUGGUGCAUGGUCGUCGUCAGCUCGUGUCGUGAGAUGUUGGGUUAAGUCCCGCAACGAGCGCAACCCUUGUUACUAGUUGCCAGCAUUAAGUUGGGCACUCUAGUGAGACUGCCGGUGACAAACCGGAGGAAGGUGGGGACGACGUCAGAUCAUCAUGCCCCUUAUGACCUGGGCUACACACGUGCUACAAUGGACGGUACAACGAGUCGCAAGCUCGCGAGAGUAAGCUAAUCUCUUAAAGCCGUUCUCAGUUCGGACUGUAGGCUGCAACUCGCCUACACGAAGUCGGAAUCGCUAGUAAUCGCGGAUCAGCAUGCCGCGGUGAAUACGUUCCCGGGCCUUGCACACACCGCCCGUCA